rnacentral:rRNA from 1 species
GAUGAACGCUGGCGGCGUGCCUAAUACAUGCAAGUCGAGCGAAGCGGGGACGGGUGAGUAAUACGUGGAUAACCUCCUAUAAGACUGGGAUAACUCCGGGAAACCGGAGCUAAACCGGUUACUUAUAGAUGGAUCUUCGCUGCAUUAGCUAGUUGGUAAGGUAACGGCUUACCAAGGCAACGAUGCAUAGCCGACCUGAGAGGGUGAUCGGCCACACUGGAACUGAGACACGGUCCAGACUCCUACGGGAGGCAGCAGUAGGGAAUCUUCCGCAAUGGGCGAAAGCCUGACGGAGCAACGCCGCGUGGGUGAUGAAGGUCUUCGGGUCGUAAAGCUCUGUUAUUAGGGAAGCGGUACCUAAACAGAAAGCCACGGCUAACUACGUGCCAGCAGCCGCGGUAAUUC